ACACAUGCAAGUCGAGGGGCAGCGGGGUUGAAGCUUGCUUCAACCGCCGGCGACCGGCGCACGGGUGAGUAACACGUAUCCAACCUGCCGAUAACUCCGGGAUAGCCUUUCGAAAGAAAGAUUAAUACCGGAUGGCAUAGUUUUCCCGCAUGGAAUAACUAUUAAAGAAUUUCGGUUAUCGAUGGGGAUGCGUUCCAUUAGGCAGUUGGCGGGGUAACGGCCCACCAAACCGACGAUGGAUAGGGGUUCUGAGAGGAAGGUCCCCCACACUGGAACUGAGACACGGUCCAAACUCCUACGGGAGGCAGCAGUGAGGAAUAUUGGUCAAUGGACGAGAGUCUGAACCAGCCAAGUAGCGUGAAGGAUGACUGCCCUAUGGGUUGUAAACUUCUUUUAUACGGGAAUAAAGUUAGCCACGUGUGGUUUUUUGCAUGUACCGUAUGAAUAAAGAUCGGCUAACUCCGUGCCAGCAGCCGCGGUAAUACGGAGGAUCCGAGCGUUAUCCGGAUUUAUUGGGUUUAAAGGGAGCGUAGGCGGGGUAUUAAGUCAGUUGUGAAAGUUUGCGGCUCAGCCGUAAAAUUGCAGUUGAUACUGGUAUCCUUGAGUGCAGCAGAGGUGGGCGGAAUUCGUGGUGUAGCGGUGAAAUGCUUAGAUAUCACGAAGAACUCCGAUUGCGAAGGCAGCUCACUGGAGUGUAACUGACGCUGAUGCUCGAAAGUGUGG
rnacentral:rRNA from 1 species